UGUCCUUGAUUACUCUGAUAUAGGCUUCUGGCACACUCUUCGCCUCCAAGCACCUCCCUCGGGACCUUGUCAUACGCCUUCUCCAAGUCGAUAAGUACAAUAUAAAGGUCCUUCUUCUUAUCCCUGAAUUGUUCCGCCAUCCGAGUGAAUCGCCUUUGUGGUGGAGCGUCCCAGCAUGAAACCGAACUGGUUCCCAGAUAUAGUUGUCGCCUCCCUCACACGCGCCUCAAUCACCC
rnacentral:lncRNA from 1 species